CAAUCAGCCACAACACAGAGAAAAGUGGGUUUUGAGGCAGCCCCUGCAGCAGGCAGGUGGGAAGGAAGAAGAGAGCGAGCUGACAGCUCAGUUCUCACGCCUUCUGUAUUCCUCAGAAUUCAGAUUUUGGCUGUUUUUGGUGAUCAUCGUGAUUCUAAGCACACUGUUCCUUGGCACCCUUGCCUGCUUCUGUGUGCGGAGGAGAAAGAGGAAGGGGAAGCAGUCAGGUGAGUGGAAGGUCCUUGGGGUGGUGCUCCUGCCUGAGGCCUUGGAUCCUGUGACUUUGUCCUGCGUCCAGUGGGAUGUGUCUGGGAGCACAGCAUCUCCUUUUCCUCAACGAGCUUUGAGACCAGUCCCAAGGAAUUUUUGACAAUUUACGAAGAUGUCAAGGAUCUGAAAACCAGGAGAAAUCAAUCUUCUGCUCCCACAUCACAAGAACCUGCAUAUACAUUAUAUUCAUUAAUUCAGCCUUCCAGGAAGUCUGGAUCCAGGAAGAGGAACCACAGCCCUUCCUUCAAUAGCACUAUCUAUGAAGUG
rnacentral:sRNA from 1 species